GUACAGCCUGAAAGGACAGCAUAGUCCACACUGCUCUCAGCAUCCUGGUGACAUGGAGCUGCAGAUGGUGUGGCUGGUUCAAUGGAGAGGGCAGCAUUGCCAUCCCAUAGGAGUUGGUUACAGCCUAUGGAGCAGCUGCCAAAGUGGCCUUUGAUCAGGCCAAAUCUGGGUGCCCCUCCCUGCAGCCAGGCCUGGCUUAUGCUCCUGCCCUUUUGGUGUCAGCUGGAAUCCCCAGUUCUGCUUCCACAUUACAAGCCCCAGAGGGGAGGCAGCAGGAGAGACAACUAUAAAUAUUCCCAAACCCAUCCCUCGUACAGAGAGAGAAAGAUUACCAAUGCCGUGGCUCAGUCAGUUGCCAUAUUUGUUAGUGCAGCAACAGGACCUCCUGAUAGCACACUGCUCAUGCUCCAGCCCUAUGGAAUAAAGCUGGUCAAUCCCCUGUGGGGAUCAGAGUCUGUGGUCAGCCUGUCUCCAAGGACAAGACUCUGCUUUAGUGCACCAGCCAAAGAAGCACCUGGUUUGUCAGUCAGAGGCGUGUGCACUGGAGAGAGAAACCACCCCAUACUUUCCUUUGUUGGGGAAGGGGGUAUCAGGCAGUGGGCAGCAAAAGCCUUUUAAGCCUGCUUCUCAGAAAUACUAGGAAGCCCUCAACGCCAACUGGGACUGGUUAGGGUAUGGUGUGCUCAUCCCUGCUGAACAUCAGCCCCUAGCAUUCUUAGAAGGUGCCCAGCUCUGUGACUCAAGUCAUCUUUAGGUGGGUGCAUGAUAGGAGUAGAAGAAUCUGCUUUCUCCCCAGGUUAUAGCUAAUUCAGGGUGUACAUAUCAGGACAGAGAGGGGAGGAAAGCAUGAGCCAGACAAACCCCACAGUGAUGAGUGCCAAAGAAAGAUGUGCUAGGAAGGGAACUAGGCUGUGGAUCGCAGCCGUGUCAGAGGAACAGUGUUUGAAACAAUCAAACCUGCCAAACACACAUGGGCUCCCUUCAUCUCUGUUCUCCAGAACAGGAACAGAAAAUGUGAUUUACGUACAGGCUGCAGUUACCAGUGUUUAUACCUUCUGCAGCCCUCACAAGAGAGGUGCGAUCUUGAGAAAGGUUGGGAUACUGAUAACCUCCCCUUCUGUACUCAAAUGAGCAAAUAUUUAGUUCCAAGCAAUAGAAGAAAAGAGAACAGAGUCUGAUGGCAAAGGGGAGGGAGAGCUUGUGUUACAGCUCCUGGUUUGGGAGGUCAAAGACACCACAUCACAGAAAAGCACCUGUUCCCUAUCCUGACAGGAGGCUGCUUCUGAAACUGGGAUUAGACACAAAGUGGGGGUGCAUCACUCCCCCUUUAAAACUAAAUCCUUCACUGCUUUGUUUCUACAGGAACAUGAUUCUCAUUUUAGUUAGGAAAACCAAGGCAGAGAUCUUCCAAGGCACCUGGAAUCCCCCAAAAGCUUCAAUGGUAGCUGUGCAUUGAUCCCCAAUAAAAGCCACUUGCGUAAGGUUAAGCAGCAAGUGGCAAAACCAGACUUGAAAUCCAAGAAAUCCUUGGAGGUCAGGUCUGGGCUCAGGUCACCUCUCUCCCCAAGACAGACUAGCAGUUAUAGGAUGUUUGCCAGUGAGAACAGCUGCACUGCAAUACAGAGGCAGGGAUAUUGGCAGUAGCAGCUUUGGAGCCUAUCCAUCCAUCUAUCAACAUUGUUGGCAUCUCACUGCAGAAUGCUAUGAGCAUCUGUCCAAGUUUCUGGCUUCUCAUGCCUCAACUAACAAAUGUUAAAGGGUCCCAGAAUGGAAAGACAGGAAUGGAAAGUAUCCCAAAAUCUCCUGCUAGUACCCCAGGGGACAAACAUAUACCCAAUACUGGAUGACUAUUGGAAUCAGCACAGGUGGGUGUUGAGCCUCUCUUGACAGCAGUGUGCCUGGAAAGUCCUAGACUGACAAGGCUCUGGAAACUAAUGGGCUCCAUUUAGCAUGUCACAUGGCAGAGAGAGCACAGGGUGUGACUGUACAAGCUUCCUCACAUCACUCCCCAUGUGCCUCACAUCUCAGCUUAGAAGACCUCUUCUCCUGGACAGGCAGCCCGGUUUCCAGUAAAUGUUUAAUCUCUACCUUUCUACCAAACCCCAACACCCUGGUGCCAACUGUGGUGGCUUUAAUGUGUCCAGCAGAACUAGGCUGAAACUGCGUUGGGACUUUUUGAGCUAAGUUCUUGAGUCUAGGAAUCAACAUGUGCUUUCAAAAACCUAAACAAAAAUCUUUUCCACAAAGCAAAUGCAGGAAGAUGAAAAAUCAGGCUGUGGCCCUGCUAAAUGGUAAGCCACAGGAAAUAUACAUCAUUAGGUGUUACAGCCCAUAGGAUGAUAGUAUGGGCAGCCUGGGGGUAUGACAUACAGGGGAGCAAUAUCAGAAAGAACAUUUGUAAAGAGCAACUUUUAUACAAAAAAAUAAAAUAAAAAUCAAAUAUUUCCACUGGAAAGCCCCUCCUUCCCACUUCCCCUCUCCAUUCAGAGAACAGAAACACAUGAUUAACAGACUGUUACAAUGCACAGGCUGCACACACCAUGUUGCAACACUGCAAGUCUGUGUCAGAGUAGUUUGGUGCUCUUGAGAAGGAACAAACAUCCAGAGAAACAUACAGGUCCCUUUAAGAGUUCGGCGACACUAAAACAUACCCUAAAAUUCCCUUGACCCCUUUAGGUUUUAUACUAAACAAAACCCCAGAGUUUACUUUUGAA